GGCCUCAUAGCACAGUUGGCUAAAGCGUUCGCUGUACUGAAGCCUAUCCCCUGUUGGCGUGGGUUUGAAUCCCACUGAGGCUG
rnacentral:tRNA from 1 species